rnacentral:rRNA from 1 species
UGGGGAAUCUUGCGCAAUGCGCGAAAGCGUGACGCAGCAACGCCGCGUGGGGGAAGAAGGCCUUCGGGUUGUAAACUCCUUUCAGGAGGGACGAAGGGCAGGGCGCGAAUAGCGUCCCUGUCUGACGGUACCUUCAGAAGAAGCUCCGGCUAACUACGUGCCAGCAGCCGCGGUAAUACGUAGGGAGCAAGCGUUGUCCGGAAUCAUUGGGCGUAAAGCGCGCGUAGGCGGCCUCGUAAGUCCGCUGUAAAAGUCAAAGGCUCAACCUUUGAAAGCCGGUGGAUACUGCGAGGCUAGAGUCCGGAAGAGGCGAGUGGAACUCCUGGUGUAGCGGUGGAAUGCGCAGAUAUCAGGAAGAACACCAACGGCGAAGGCAGCUCGCUGGGACGGUACUGACGCUGAGGCGCGAAAGCGUGGGGAGCAAACAGG